CCUGCCUAGAAAUUUGCCACACUUUGUCCUAUUUGUACAAGCCCUGCUGAGUUUCAAGUCACAACACAGCUUGUGGGUGCCAGCAGGUCUGAGGGGCUCUGUCCCUACAAAGAGUCAGCUUCCUUCAGCAAAAAUACAAGAAGCAGAGGUGGAGCACAGCGAGGCCAGCUGCUGAGACUGGAAUGCAAGAUGGAGAGGACAGAAAAGACAUCCAGGAUACUGCACGAACGGUGACACGAAUCCCAUCCCUCUUAAAUGAGUUUAAAGAAUGACAGAACCACAGAACAGCUGAGGAUGGCAGCACCUCUGGGUCCACCUCACUCAACACCUGCUCCAGCAAGGACAGCCAGAGCAGGGUGCCCGGGACCACGUCCAGCUGGUUUUGAAGAUGUCCAAGAAGGAGAUCCCAUAGCCUCCCUGAGCAACCUGUGCCAAUGUUCUGUCACCCACAGAGCACAGAAAUGCUGCCUGAUGGUCAGUGGGAACAUCCUGUGCUCCAGUGUGCAUCCGUUGCUUCUUGUUUUGGCACAGAGCACCACUGAACAGAGCCCAGCUCCUUCCUCUCUGCACCUCCCUUCAUGCAUUUAUGGACGUGGAUGAGCUCCUGCCAAACUACCUUUGCUCCAGGCUGAGCAGCCCAUCUCUCCUCACAGCAGAGCUGCUCCAGCCCCCUGGUGGCCUACAUGGGACUCUCUCCAGCAUGCCCCGAUCUCCUUCGUACUGCGGACCUUGAACUGGACCCAGCACUCCAGGUACAGCCCCACCAGAGCUGAGCAGAGGUUAAGGCAUGCCUCCCUCAACCUGCUGGUGAUACUUCACCUAACACAGCCAAAAAUAGCAUCAGCCUUCUUAGCAGCAAGGGCACACUGCUGAGUUGGGACCCCAAAACCACAUCCCACAAUCCAGCAGCUCAAGUGUUCCUCCUCUCAGAAGCUCUUUCCUGCAGACAAGUUAAAAGCUGCAGUGCUAAAUAAUUAACCUUCUCUGGACACACAGCACAGCACUGAGCUGAAGCCGGUUAGAAGCCCUCAUGCAAGCCUGUAAAGCGUUUUGGGGUCUACUGCAACAGCUUGGGUCAUUAUUGAGCCUGCUGGCUGCAAUUCAUGAUCUGGUGCCAGCCCUGAGAAGGAGGACGAGCCCCAGGGCCACCCCAUCUGCACUGUGCUGCUGAGUUUGAGUGUGCACUAGCUGCCUUCAACCACAAGAGUGUGCCUGGAUCACAGGUUUGGGAAAACUUUAGCAUUUUGCUACAGGCUGCUGCUGCUCUCCUCCUUCCAUCCAAGGACCAGCUGCAGUGUAGGCUUGGAGAGAAGCAAGAGUAUGGAGUGGGGUCUGUCUGAAUUGAGGCUUUCUGUCUCAAAGGCAUUUUUAUAUCUCCAGGCACAUAGCAUUGAACUAUAUGUUCCUUAAAGCUGUAAGCUCUGCCGACGAAUCCCUGAGUCUGCAGGGCAGCAUUCUCCUCACUGAUAAUUAAUGGGUCAUCAAACUGCUAAUUUCAGCUGAGCUGCUUACCCAGCCCUUUUAAGCAGUGGAAAAAAAUAGGGAUUUUUGAGGCAAUACUGGACUGCUUCAGCUGGGGGCUGUGGCUUGUUCUAACCCAUGAAAAGGAAGCCCUUCUGUAGGUGUCUGUGCCUGCAGACGCUGGUUCUGGCCAGUAGAUCUGGAUUUGAGAUGUGUUUGUUUGAUACUUUUGAGUAAGUUGUCUCCUG
ensembl:lncRNA